ensembl:snRNA U6 U6 spliceosomal RNA
GUGUUCUCUUCAGUAGCACAUAUACUAAAAUUGGACCCAUACAAAAAAAAAAUAGCAUUGCCCUUGAGACAAGAUGACACACAAAUUCAUGAAGCAGUCCAUAUUUUU